rnacentral:rRNA from 1 species
UACGUAGGGGGCGAGCGUUGUCCGGAUUUAUUGGGUUUAAAGGGUGCGUAGGCGGCUUUGUAAGUCAGUGGUGAAAUACUCCAGCUUAACUGGAGGGGUGCCAUUGAUACUGCGGAGCUUGAGUACAGAUGAGGUAGGCGGAAUUGACGGUGUAGCGGUGAAAUGCAUAGAUAUCGUCAAGAACACCGAUAGCGAAGGCAGCUUACUGGGCUGUAACUGACGCUGAUGCACGAAAGUGUGGGGAGCAAACAGG